GGUGAUGUGGCUCAGUGGUAGAGCGCUUACUUAGGAUGUACAGUCCCAAUCCCUAGUACUGCAUGCAUAAAUAAACAAAUAAAAUAAAUCACACCAGACAGCAAGCACCUAAGUUUGAAUCCUGCCUUCUCCA
rnacentral:tRNA from 1 species